rnacentral:rRNA from 1 species
AUUGCGUGGGGGCACCCUGACCGCCUGCCGCGUGAGGGGAUGAAGGCCUUCGGGUUGUAAAGCUCUUUUGGCGGGGACGAUGAUGACGGUACCCGCAGAAUAAGCCCCGGCUAACUUCGUGCCAGCAGCCGCGGUAAGACGAAGGGGGCUAGCGUUGUUCGGAAUUACUGGGCGUAAAGCGCGUGUAGGCGGUUUUCCAAGUUGGGUGUGAAAGCCUUGGGCUUAACCCAAGAAAUGCACUCAGUACUGGAAGACUAGAGGACCGGGGAGGAUAGUGGAAUUCCCAGUGUAGUGGUGAAAUACGUAGAGAUUGGGAAGAACACCAGUGGCGAAGGCGGCUAUCUGGACGGUUUCUGACGCUAAGACGCGAAA